CAGUAGCCGCGGUAAUACAGAGGGUGCGAGCGUUAAUCGGAUUUACUGGGCGUAAAGCGUGCGUAGGCGGCUUCUUAAGUCGGAUGUGAAAUCCCUGAUCUUAACUUAGGAAUUGCAUUCGAUACUGGGAAGCUAGAGUAUGGGAGAGGAUGGUAGAAUUCCAGGUGUAGCGGUGAAAUGCGUAGAGAUCUGGAGGAAUACCGAUGGCGAAGGCAGCCAUCUGGCCUAAUACUGACGCUGAGGUACGAAAGCAUGGGGAGCAAACAGGAUUAGAUACCCGGGUAGUCCCUGUCUCUUAUAC
rnacentral:rRNA from 1 species